rnacentral:rRNA from 1 species
ACGCUCGACACCUACGGGAUCAGCAGUGGGGAAUAUUGCACAAUGGGGGAAACCCUGAUGCAGCGACGCCGCGUGGAGGAAGAAGGUCUUCGGAUUGUAAACUCCUGUUGUUGGGGAAAAAGAGGAUGGUACCCAACAAGGAAGUGACGGCUAACUACGUGCCAGUAGCCGCGGUAAUCUGAGCGGGCUGGCAAGGC